rnacentral:lncRNA from 1 species
CUGAAUUUAUUAACACUUCGAAUGACGGGGAGAUUUGCUAAAUGGUUUUCAAUUUGUAUCUUAACGCCGCGAGACCACAUGCUCGGCGCAGAUUCGGCGCGACAGAUAUCGCGGUCGUACCUCGGCGGGCGAGAGUGCGUAUCUCUUACCCCCGCGGUUCGUACGAAAUGCCUCUUUAUCAUUGCGCUUAUUAUUACGAAUCUCUGUAACAGAGCGUCGCCGGGGGACGCCUAUGAAAUUGAAAUUCGGAAAGGAAGUUUAUUUUAUUGCGAGUCCCGCUAAUCAAUCGAAGGAAGUAAAAGCGCGAGCGCGUGCAUGUAUGAAUUGCGGGAUAAAUAAUCGCGUUGUAAGCUAUCAUAUAUAUUACUUAUUAUAUUAAUCUCUGUUAUUUAUAAUUUAUACUUUUGAUUUUAUAAUUAUUUCAUUAUUCCUGAUUAGUUUGAGAGUUUAAAUACCUAAAAUGUUGGAUUAAACAGAUUGUAUAUUAUUUUGAUUUAUACAAAUUUUAUUUUAUCUGAUUGUCAGUAACUUAUCUUUUUACGGGAUUUACUGAUAGACAAUUGAUAGAAUCGACGACCAACUCUGACUAUACUACUUUAUAAUUACUUAUGGAGAUAUAGUUAUACAUUAUUAUAUAUUAGCAAAAAUUAAAAUUAAUUUAAAAUUUUGAAUAUAUUUGAAGGAAAGAUGAUAAAAUAUAAAAAAAAUUGUUUACAAUCUGAGGAAAGAAACUGAAAUAAAAACGUGCAGCCUCAUGUAAUAUGCGAGUACUUGAGAAAUCAAUAUCUUACUUACAUCGGCAGUAUAUUUAUUUUAAAAGAUUAGUUCUAGAAGAGAGAGAGAGAUGGAUAUUAUUUAUAGAUUCAAAUUAUCAUUACUUGUUAAAUAAUACGACAAAAAUAAUUCUCGCAAUUCUUCAUAAUCAAUAAUAAUGAUGACACAAUCAAUUUAACGUGACAUAUUUUGUCAUUAAUAAAAAAUUCGAUCCAUCCUACUUUUUCAUGUUAUAAUAAUUGUAACGUGAUAAUCAGUAUAAAUGAUUUCUCGGAUUUCUUAAUUUUGCGAUGGUUGAGUUUUCAACGAAUGUCUGCCAGCGAAGUAUGAACGCGACAUUCUUAAUGCCACCAUAGAAAGUACCAUGAGAUAUUUCCUGUGCAGUGACGCGUAUUAUUUUCCUGAGGUGUGAAUGUAUUUUAUAGUGUCAAAUGCAGUAUACAGAGGUAUGCGGAGGUUAGACUUUUAGUCUUUAUAGUCGAUAAAAUAUUUAAAUUUAAUACAAAAAAUUACUUAAAAUAUAAUAUAAUAAAAAGAAUUCAAUUACAUUCAAUAUUUCUAAUUUCUAUAGAUUCUAAAAAUUUUUUUUCAACUUGGAAAAUAUAAAAAUAAAUAUUGAGAUAAAACUUGAUUCUGAUUAAUAAACUGAGAUGUUUGAAAUAGUCCAGACAACGUGUACGAAUCUGCAAUGAAUUGAUACGCCAGGUAUUGAUGUGCUCGUACACAGGUAUAGUGGAGACAUUAGUUUUCUUAAAGACGGACGCUUCGGCGCGCGAAAAGUCACGUCGUUGCAGUUUGAAGCUCCGGGCUUCCGCGAGCGAGCUUCCUUUAAUUCUAGCCGUAGCCUAUUUCUAGAGUAUCAGCAGGGGCCGUCCAUUGGACGGCGAGGAUAUUCGGAUGCAUCGCGUGGGAUGCUCGUAAUUUCCCGGGUAAGCUCCGGCAAAUUAGCUCCGGGCAUACGUUACUCUCGCCUUAGUUGUCCCUCUCCUGCGCUUCUUAGUCCUCCCUACCGUUGUUCUCCUUUAUCGCCCCUCUCGGAGAAAACCCGGCUUUUCUCGUAGCGAGCCAGCCCGCCUCGGCAGCCGUCUCUCCCGCGCGCUUUCUUCCUCUCCGCCACCCCUCUCAGUCCACCCUCCCACACCUCGGAUAAACGCGUACACGCUCGCGGAAACACGAGCCGUUCCGUGUGCCCGUCGUAAGGUGGCGAGGCUCGUUCUUACCUCGAAAAAGCUCUCGGAUAGAAAGAGAGAGAGCCCCCCAUCCGAAGGUGGGGGGAUACGCCGUCCUGGACGUAGGACGAGCGCGCCGGUCUUCGUGGGUUCGACACGAAAGCUCCGUUAGUAGGCGUGCCGCUCAAGCUCCGCCCGCAAGCUCGUGGGUGCACGCCCAGGGAACAGGGCUUUACCAUCCGGUGCUUUGUCGACCCUGGCAAACCACCCUGCCAAGGGCCACCGCGCCCGAUAACGUUAACCCCCGCGCAGCCCUCUCGCGUCCCCGAGACGCGACCUAGGGCGCGCGGUCCUUCUUCCACUCGCGGCUUGAAACUCCCUGGACCCCCCCCCCCUCCUCCCCCCUUUGUCCCUCCGCUCCUCGUUUCCUCUUCCCUUCUUCCGGUUCGGCGACGUACCCACCCAUGGCCCUCCGUCGUAGGAGUUGCAACUUUAGACCGCUUUGCACACAGAUUGCAUCAGAGCCAUCCGCGGAUGCAAUCGUUACCCCACUGUCGUGUUUCCACCCCCGUCGUCUUUCUCCCACGGAAGCGGCGCGCGAGCGCGUGUACGUGUGCGUACGCGUGUGUGUCCUGGUAUACGUUAGAGGAAUAGCUGACGCCGGUUCUCCGUGUUGGCGAAACGAAGAAUGCACCGCCGGACUGCGACGGGGAAGUUGAAGACGAAGCUCUUGAUUACGAUGCUUUAUUGGAUUCGGUGUCGUAAUCAGCGAUGCGGGAUUAGGUGACGGGUAUAUUGACCAAUAACGUUCAGCGAGAAUGAGCGAUUUACGAAGCACUUAAUACGCAUACUACAUUUAACAAUUGUGUUGUAUGUAAAUGUUAAAAAUAGGAAAGAAUAUAAAUGAAAGCGUUAGAUUAAUUUUUUUUAAAUUUAUUUGCAAGAUCUUGAACGAAUUUUGGCGUUUAAACAAAAUGUUAAAAGCUGCACGAUGACUAAUCGAACUCGAGUUGCAGUAGAAUGGAUCAGAACGGAUUAAGACGUAACGGUAGGAUAAGAUACAGAUGGGUUUUGUGACGCGUCUGGUUACCGUCUAUCCCCGCGAAAUAAAGCGCUCGGAUGUGGCGAGUGUAAAAUGCUGUAACGGCGAACGAAAUCUCUCUAGACUCUUAGUCUGUCGAGACGAAUUUGUCUUGGAGAUUUACACCAAGAUUUUCGGUGGUACGCGCGACAGGCACGUGUCAUAGCAAAUGUGUGUUUAAAGAAUGAAUAAUAAAUGAGACCAAAAAUACAUAAGAAAAAGGGAAACAUUUGAAAACGAGUAUAAUUCUAAAUUAGGUCAUCGACGAGCUUCAAACGACUUUACAAUUUUGCAAAAAAAAAAAAAAAAAA